UAUUUGAGGAAGUGUUGUUGUGCUAGUAAUCCUGCUCAGUAUGAGAGGAACUGCAGGUUCAGACCUUUGGUGUAUGUGCUUGGCUGAGGAGCCAAUGGGGCAAAGCUACCAUCUGUGGGAUU